AGACUCUAGAGUGAAGUGGAGUGACAUAAGCAGACUUCAUCAUGAUGGAGGAAGAGCCCCUUUCCCAGACAAAUGCUGGAAGAAAAGUAGUUGAGCUGUCUGAUCCAUUCAACCAGUCUUCAAGAGAGAAAGCACUUUUGCUCAGACCGAACCACGUGGUUGAUGAACAAUGGCUGUAUUGAUACUCAGUAGCCAUCACCCUUCUGGUACAGCCAGGUAGGAACUGAAUUGUUGCUGAUAUUUUCCUCCUAUUUUUUAAGUGAUUUAUCAUAUAUAUGGCUUUUCACUUUCUCUCCCCUGCUGGAAUGAAACUAAUCAUGCUUUCGUGUCGGUGCAAAAGUUUGAAGAUUAUGGUUGGUUGUCAUAAGUGAG
rnacentral:lncRNA from 1 species